UUGUAAUAAAUAAUAUCCCAUAGUUUUACCGACACUUCUUUAGUAUUUGCACUAAGAAGAAAACAGAGAUCCAAGCGCGCACUAUAAUUUAAAUUUUUGCGCUACGAUUUUAGAAUCGCGCUUUAAUACAUAUUUUUUGUCGUAAGUAUAUAUGCGCACUGACAUAUAAACACAUUCGUUACAUUUUUGCGACAUAAUUAUCGCGGGACAAAAAAUCGUAGUUCGCGCUUGGCCUUACUAAGUAUAAUAAUCUAAGUAUAAUAUUUAAAGGGAAAAUGCUGAUGUGUUUGUUAAUAAACCAAUACGAGUAGAAUCACUUUAUUUACGACCGGUCUGGCCUAGUGGGUAGUGACCCUGCCUGCGAAGCCGAUGGUCCUGGGUUCGAAUCCCAGUAAGGGCAUUUAUUUGUAUGAUGAUACAGAUAUUUGUUCCUGAGUCAUGGGUGUUUUCUAUGUAUUUAAGUAUUUGUAUAUUAUACAGUUUCACUGUAUAUAUCGUUGUCUGAGUACCCACAACACAAGCCUUCUUGAGCUUACUGUGGGACUUAGUCAAUCUGUGUAAGAUUGUCCUAUAAUAUUUAUUUAUUUGUUUU